rnacentral:lncRNA from 1 species
ACUGUUUUUACUUAAACCCUUUUUUAAAAAAAUUGAAGUAUAGUUAAUUUACAAUGUUUUUAUUCUUGUCUUGAUGUUAGGGUAUGGCAACUUUAUUCCCCAGCCUAAGUCAGCCUGUGGGUCUUUACUCAGCCAAGUCUGGUUCUGAAACGGGGACACCCCAACCCCCAACUCUAGAAGCUCACGGUCUACUUAGGCAUUCAGGGGACACUUCUAAAAAUGGAACCAGUGGGACCAGGCGUGGUGUUCAUUCAGCAAACAACUGUGGUAUAAGUUCAGUGAUGUUGCAGCACAUGUGGAAGCACUGGGGGCCACACGGAGCCCUAAACUCAAGGCCAGUGGCAGGGUCAAGAAAAAAUACCAAAAUAAAAUAAAAUGUGAUGUUUCUGGGCAGGCCUUUUGUCAGGGAUUCCCAAAUACUUCCCACCUCCAGAUCUUGGUCCCAAACCUGCCUGCUCUACACCUACUGCCACUUCACAGGCUGUCCAUCUUUGGCCGCGCCAAGAAUUCUUGACUUUGGUCCCAAUGUCUCCUGGCAUUCUGCUCCCAAAUCCUGGACAUUCUCUUUUGGUUGACACUUUCAUCCCUCCAACUUAAAUCCACAUACUUUCUU